CCUACGGGAGGCUGCAGUAGGGAAUCUUCCACAAUGGGCGAAAGCCUGAUGGAGCAACGCCGCGUGGGUGAAGAAGGUCUUCGGAUCGUAAAACCCUGUUGUUAGAGAAGAAAGUGCGUGAGCGUAACUGUUCACGUUUCGACGGUAUCUACCCAGAAAGCCACGGCUAACUACGUGCCAGCAGCCGCGGUAAUACGUAGGUGGCAAGCGUUAUCCGGAAUUAUUGGGCGUAAAGGGAACGCAGGCGGUCUGUUAAGUCUGAUGUGAAUGCCUUGGGCUUAACCGGAGUAGUGCAUUGGAUACUGGGAGACGUGAGUGCAGUAGAGGAGAGUAGAACUCCAUGUGUAGCGGUGAAAUGCGUAGAGAUAUGGAAGAACACCAGUGGCGAAAGCGGCUCUCUGGUCUGUAACUGACGCUGAGGUUCGAAAGCGUGGGUAGCAAACAGGAUUAGAUACCCGGGUAGUC
rnacentral:rRNA from 1 species